UACGUAGGGGGCUAGCGUUGUCCGGAAUCAUUGGGCGUAAAGAGCGUGUAGGCGGCUCGGUAAGUCCGCUGUGAAAGUCCAGGGCUCAACCCUGGAAUGCCAGUGGAAACUGUCGAGCUAGAGUCCGGAAGAGGCGAGUGGAAUUCCUGGUGUAGCGGUGGAAUGCGUAGAGAUCCGGAAGAACACCGGUGGCGAAGGCGGCCCGCUGGGCAGAGACUGACGCUGAGGCGCGACAGCGUGGGGAGCAAACAGG
rnacentral:rRNA from 1 species